CUGGUGCGUUACACCCGGCC
rnacentral:misc_RNA from 1 species